rnacentral:rRNA from 1 species
GAUGAACGCUGACAGAAUGCUUAACACAUGCAAGUCGAUGGGGAAGUGGUGCUUGCACCCUGGCAACCAUGGCGGACGGGUGAGUAACGCGUAAGGGACUUACCUGCAGGACUGGGAUAACAGGGGGAAACUCCUGACAAGACCGGAUAAUGUCAUGGAGCUGCAUGGCUUUAUGAUGAAAGGAGACGCCUGCGGAGAGCCUUGCGUCCUAUUAGCUAGUUGGUGAGGUAAUGGCUCACCAAGGCGAAGAUAGGUAGCCGGCCUGAGAGGGUGGACGGCCACAAGGGGACUGAGAUACGGCCCUUACUCCUACGGGAGGCAGCAGUGGGGAAUAUUGGACAAUGGGGGUAACCCUGAUCCAGCAAUUCUGUGUGCACGAAGAAGGUUUUCGGAUUGUAAAGUGCUUUCAGCAGGGAAGAAGUAAGUGACGGUACCUGCAGAAGAAGCGACGGCUAAAUACGUG